rnacentral:rRNA from 1 species
GAUGAACGCUAGCUACAGGCAUAACACAUGCAAGUCGAGGGGAAACGAUAGAGAAAGCUUGCUUUUUCUAGGCGUCGACCGGCGCACGGGUGAGUAACGCGUAUCCAACCUGCCCAUCACUUGGGGAUAACCUUGCGAAAGUACGACUAAUACCCAAUGACGUCUCUAGAAGACAUCUGAACGAGAUUAAAGAUUUAUCGGUGAUGGAAGGGGAGGCGUCGUAUUAGCUUGUUGGCGGGGUAACGGCCCAACAAGGCGACGAUCAGUAGGGGUUCUGAGAGGAAGGUCCCCCACAUUGGAACUGAGACACGGUCCAAACUCCUACGGGAGGCAGCAGUGAGGAAUAUUGGUCAAUGGACGAGAGUCUGAACCAGCCAAGUAGCGUGCAGGAUGACGGCCCUAUGGGUUGUAAACUGCUUUUAUAAGGGAAUAAAGUGAGUCUCGUGAGACUUUUUGCAUGUACCUUAUGAAUAAGGACCGGCUAAUUCCGUGCCAGCAGCCGCCGUAA